ACAAAACCUCGGUCUUCCACAUAACUUCCAAACUUGAAGUUGGUUCCAAUCUUCUUCCCCAAUUGAGCCCAAAAUGUGUAGGUGCUCAUAAAAAAUAGUGCAGUCAGUGUUUGUACAAACGUACGACGACGAGAUUGGAAGUCGCCGGAACAAGUUUACCCCCGGCCUAUCAUCCUCAUUCUGAUGACAAAACGACCCAUUUCAAUCGGCUCCAUAUUUACCUUAGCUUUUCAUUUGGGUAUUUCUUGAAUCCGAUUUCGUCAACUGGGUCACCGGAUUUUAAGACCGAGGAGGGUCCGGACACUGAUGGGUCGGGUUCGAGUACUGGGAUGACCUGGGCGGAUAGUGUGAAGAAGAAGAAAAGAAAGAAGAAGAUGAAUAAGCAUAAGUUAAAGAAGCUGAAAAAGCGUCUUCCUCACUGCUCUUAAACUAAGGUGGUUGUUUGGGCAAUAAAGUUUUUCUUUUUCUUGAUCUGGUAUUGACGAUUGAGAGGUUUCUAGCAAUUUAUUUCAUAAGAAAAUUGAGAUGUUUGAUGCUGCUUUAUGAUACAUGUGACUGAAGUUAUGCAAUUGAAUAAUUGCUCAACUGUCAAAUCUAUGAUUAUUGCUACUGAUUUAUUAAUCAGUGAAAUGCAAGGUCUUGAAUAACUAGUGAUAAUCUUUGUAUGACUCAGGUUUUAGCUUUGUUUAUAGGUGAUCGUUUGUACUUUAAGGUUUAAGGUUGAUAGGUUGAGCCCAGUUCAAUCGAAUUAGUUUGUUGAAGGUUAUGAUCAAUUGAUAGUCCGAAUAAUCUAUUGUUGUUU
rnacentral:lncRNA from 1 species